rnacentral:rRNA from 1 species
CAGUCGCCACGGUAAUACGGAGGGUGCAAGCGUUAAUCGGAAUUACUGGGCGUAAAGCGUGCGUAGGUGGUGGUUUAAGUCCGUUGUGAAAGCCCUGGGCUCAACCUGGGAAUUGCAGUGGAUACUGGGUCACUAGAGUGUGGUAGAGGAUAGUGGAAUUUCCGGUGUAGCAGUGAAAUGCGUAGAGAUCGGAAGGAACAUCAGUGGCGAAGGCGGCCAUCUGGGACAACACUGACGCUGAGGCACGAAAGCGUGGGGAGCAAACAGGAUUAGAUACCCCAGUAGUCCCUGUCUCUUAUAC